rnacentral:rRNA from 1 species
GAUGAACGCUGGCGGCGUGCCUAAUACAUGCAGGUCGAGCGAACAGACGAGGAGCUUGCUCCUCUGACGUUAGCGGCGGACGGGUGAGUAACACGUGGAUAACCUACCUAUAAGACUGGGAUAACUUCGGGAAACCGGAGCUAAUACCGGAUAAUAUAUUGAACCGCAUGGUUCAAUAGUGAAAGACGGUUUUGCUGUCACUUAUAGAUGGAUCCGCGCCGCAUUAGCUAGUUGGUAAGGUAACGGCUUACCAAGGCAACGAUGCGUAGCCGACCUGAGAGGGUGACCGGCCACACUGGAACUGAGACACGGUCCAGACUCCUACGGGAGGCAGCAGUAGGGAAUCUUCCGCAAUGGGCGAAAGCUUGACGGAGCAACGCCGCGUGAGUGAUGAAGGUCUUCGGAUCGUAAAACUCUGUUAUUAGGGAAGAACAAAUGUGUAAGUAACUAUGCACGUCUUGACGGUACCUAAUCAGAAAGCCACGGCUAACUACGUG